UGCUGGGCGUGCUAACUCGUCCACCGAGCUCGGCCGGAGAGUAGAAUAUGUUGCAUGCGUUGGGCACGCUGCUGACUUUUAAAUCUUGCAACUGCGACCAAGGAAGGAAGACGUCUCGGCCUUCAGCUUCUAGAGCCUGAAGACAAGGCAGUUAGUUCUGCGAAGUUCACAAAUCGUCGACGCCGAAUUCGGUCAUAGUGAUUAUAUUCGUAAAAGUAUAAGAACGUCGAAUCGACACCAAACUAUAUGGGCACAAGUACUUAAAGCAAAUGUGCGUCUUAAUCGUAAAUGUACUUUGACCGUCAGAAUGUCGAA
rnacentral:lncRNA from 1 species